AAUUAAUAUUUCCUUCCUCGAGACCCAGAUGCCUUAUCCAUGUAGCCUAAUUUAUUAUUUUAAUAAAUAAAAAAAAGUAGCGUACUAUUUUUUUCUAAAACUAUAUAUAUUUUUUAAUUAAUAUUACGGAUUACAAAGUAUACUUAGAAAAUAACGGUAAAUUUUAUAAAUAUAUUGUCCAGACAUUAAUCGGUCUCGAAUAUUAGCAAUGUAGAAUGAAUUUUAGUUUAAUUUAUAGAAAAAUUAUUAUUUAAAAUAUAUAAUCUUUGAUAUAUAAUUUUUUUUUAACAAUGUUGUGAAAUGUAUUAAAUAAUUAAAUUCUGAUUUUGAAAGCUUUAUAAUAAUUUGUUAUAAAUAUAUAUAUGUGGUGUAUAAAUUAUA
rnacentral:lncRNA from 1 species